UACGAAGGGGGCUAGCGUUGCUCGGAAUCACUGGGCGUAAAGGGUGCGUAGGCGGGUCUUUAAGUCAGGGGUGAAAUCCUGGAGCUCAACCCCAGAACUGCCUUUGAUACUGAGGAUCUUGAGUUCGGGAGAGGUGAGUGGAACUGCGAGUGUAGAGGUGAAAUUCGUAGAUAUUCGCAAGAACACCAGUGGCGAAGGCGGCUUACUGGUCCGGUUCUGACGCUGAGGCGCGAAAGCGUGGGGAGCAAGCAGG
rnacentral:rRNA from 1 species